GCGGGCGAUCAAGCGCCGAGCAGGACGGGCACAGCCCCGCACAGGAGCGAUCGAGGGCCAGACUAUUGUGCAGCGAGAGGUGAAAUUUGAUGACCUGCGCAGGAGUAGCAGCGGCGAAGGCGCUGGCCAGGAGCGUAUCCGAUGAUCAAGGACGUAGGCUGGAGGAUCGAAGACGAUUAGAGACCGUAGUAGUUCCAGCAGUAAACGAUGCCUACACUGCUGCAGACGCGUCUGCGGCAGACGAGAAAUCGAGUGGGGCUACGGGGAGAGUACGCGCGCAAGCGCCAAAUUUAAAGGAAAUUGACGGAAGAACACCACAAGGAGUGGAGUGUGCGGCUUAAUUUGACUCAACGCGGGACAACUUACCACGCCCGAUGGCCGUGUGAGCGCGUGCGCGAUAGGCCAGCGAGUGGUGCAUGGCCGUUAUCGACUAGUGGGGUGACCUCUGGGUUAAGUCCGCAAAGUAGUGAGAUCCCGGGGCCCGCUCAUUUUAUUUGAUGGGCGGCGUCAACAGGCGCGAGAAGCGCCGGAAGGACGGGGCAAGAACAGGUCAGUGAUGCCCUUAAAUGGCGUGGGCUGCACGCGCACUACAGUGGUCGCAGCAGGAGCUUUCAGAGUGAAAUGCGAUCGAGAGGGAAUGCGCGCUGUAAGGUGCACAGGAACGAGGAAUUGCUAGUAGCCGCUGCCUCACCAAGGAGCGGCGAAUGUGUCCCUGUUCUUUGUACACACCGCCCGUCGUUAUCGA
rnacentral:rRNA from 1 species